rnacentral:rRNA from 1 species
UACAGAGGGGGCAAGCGUUAUUCGGAAUUAUUGGGCGUAAAGAGCUCGUAGGCGGUCUGUCGCGUCGGCUGUGAAAUCCCGAGGCUCAACCUCGGGUCUGCAGUCGAUACGGGCAAACUAGAGUAUUGCAGGGGAGACUGGAAUUCCUGGUGUAGCGGUGAAAUGCGCAGAUAUCAGGAGGAACACCGGUGGCGAAGGCGGGUCUCUGGGCAAUAACUGACGCUGAGGAGCGAAAGCGUGGGGAGCGAACAGG